AUAUUUGAGGAGAUCUGUCCUUAGUACGAGAGGACCAGGGCAGACGAACCUCUGGUGUUCCAGUUGUCACGCCAGUGGCAAAGGCUGGGUAGCCAUGUUCGGAAAGGAUAAGCGCUGAAAGCAUCUAAGCGCCAAGCUCCCUCCAAGAUUAGAUAUCCCGGGACGCAAGUCCCCUGAAGACAUCUUGAAGACUACAAGGUUGAUAGGCUCUAGGUGUAAGCACAGUAAUGUGUGUAGCUGAAGAGUACUAAUAUGUCGUGCGGCUUGAUCAC
rnacentral:rRNA from 1 species